AGGUCCUUGAAUAUCUGAGGCCUUUUAAAGAUGGGUGCUGGAAUUUCAAAUAUUCUGCAGCCAGCUUCCAAAGGGAAGCAAUUUUAGCUUAGAUGGUUGUGAACAUUGAGAAGAGGCCUUUAGGAUCAUCAGCUUUUGAAUUGGGGCAGUUCUGUUAUUCUUUUCACCAACUAAGUUCUUGGGAGUAAUUGUGUAGCCUUUACUGGAUGAAGACCAGGAGCAUAAACUUACUUUUCUGAUCGUUG